CGGCUCCCAGCGGCGUGUUCCUCUUUCCCGGGGUUUCCACCUUCCUGGUAGGUGGGCGCCGAAGCGUCGGCCUCUCACCUCGGCUCGCGUCGUGCUCCGGCCACUCGCCCCCAGCCCCCAGCCCCCCAGCCUCCAGCCCCCGGAGCCCUGCGGUGGGUCGCACUCCUCUCCCGGCAGCAGACCCAUGGCCGAGCGUGGGGAACUCGACCUGACCGGCGCCAAGCAGAACACCGGCGUGUGGCUGGUCAAGGUUCCUAAAUAUUUGUCACAGCAGUGGGCUAAAGCCCCUGGAAGAGGUGAAGUCGGGAAACUGCGGAUUGCCAAGAAUCAAGGAAGGACUGAGGUGUCAUUUACUUUGAAUGAGGAUCUUGCAAAUAUUCAUGAUAUUGGUGGAAAACCAGCUUCAGUAAGCGCUCCUAGAGAACAUCCAUUUGUCUUGCAAAGUGUUGGAGGACAAACUUUAACAGUGUUUACUGAGAGCUCAUCAGAUAAGCUUUCAUUGGAAGGAAUAGUGGUACAAAGAGCUGAAUGCCGACCUGCUGCAAGUGAAAACUACAUGAGAUUAAAGAGAUUGCAAAUAGAAGAAUCUUCUAAACCUGUACGGCUAUCACAACAACUGGACAAAGUUGUGACAACCAAUUACAAACCUGUUGCCAAUCAUCAAUACAAUAUUGAAUAUGAAAGGAAAAAGAAAGAAGAUGGAAAACGAGCUCGAGCUGAUAAACAAUAUGUUUUAGACAUGCUAUUUUCAGCUUUUGAGAAACAUCAGUAUUAUAACCUUAAGGACUUGGUGGACAUCACAAAACAGCCUGUGGUGUACCUGAAGGAAAUCUUAAAAGAAAUUGGUAUUCAGAAUGUGAAAGGGAUCCACAAAAACACAUGGGAGCUGAAGCCAGAGUAUAGGCAUUAUCAGGGAGAAGAAAAGAGUGAUUAAGAAGACUCCAAGCCAGCAUGCUAACAGAACAACUAAGGGUGAUGUGUUAAGCAUACGACAUUGAUACUUGAACUUGAGCACCAUGUGUUAUAGGGGCAAAAUGACUGAUAUUUUAAUUUCUCUAGCUCCAGGCCCAGAAAAGCAGCGAAACAGAUAAGCAACACCAGGGCUGACCUCGAGACCAGCUGCAUUGACUAAUAACACCCCCCACCUCCACCCCCACUCUGGUGACAACCAAUCCAUAGAGACUACGGCCCUGAAAGGACACAACUGGGAAGCUGAUGAACAUUAUAUUGGGCUCCUCCCCUGAGACCUCCAGAUAAAUACCCUCAAGACAGAGAACCCAGUGGGGUCUCCCUACUCCCUUUCCCAGGAGCAUUUUCCUUGCCUCUCUGUUUCUCCUAAGUUCUAAGGGUCCUUCCUUUGCCUCUGUAACUUGUUUCCUAAGCCCAUUUCUUCUAUGGCUCACUUCUCCUACCUUUGUGACUUUCUAAAUGAACUUUGGCUUAUAUUUGAGUCUUGGAUCUGAGUUCUU